rnacentral:rRNA from 1 species
AGUCAAGUAAUUAAGUGCAUGUGGUGGAUGCCUUGGCAGUCAGAGGCGAUGAAAGACGUGAUAGCCUGCGAAAAGCUCCGGGGAGGCGGCAAAUAUCCUUUGAUCCGGAGAUGUCUGAAUGGGGGAACCCACCUACUUUAAGGUAGGUAUUGCAACAUGAAUACAUAGUGUUGCAAGGCGAACGAGGGGAAGUGAAACAUCUCAGUACCCUUAGGAAAAGAAAUCAAUUGAGAUUCCCUCAGUAGCGGCGAGCGAACGGGGAUCAGCCCAUUAAGUUAUGUGUGUUUUAGUGGAACGCUCUGGGAAGUGCGAACGUAGAGGGUGAUAUUCCCGUACACGAAAGGGCACACAUAAUGAUGACGAGUAGGGCGAGGCACGUGAAACCUUGUCUGAAUAUGGGGGGACCAUCCUCCAAGGCUAAAUACUCCUGACUGACCGAUAGUGAACCAGUACCGUGAGGGAAAGGCGAAAAGAACCCCUGUGAGGGGAGUGAAAUAGAUCCUGAAACCGCAUGCAUACAAGCAGUGGGAGCACCUUCGUGGUGUGACUGCGUACCUUUUGUAUAAUGGGUCAGCGACUUAUAUUCAGUAGCGAGGUUAACCGUAUAGGGGAGCCGUAGAGAAAUCGAGUCUUAAUAGGGCGUUUAGUUGCUGGGUAUAGACCCGAAACCAGGCGAUCUAUCCAUGAGCAGGUUGAAGGUUGGGUAACACUAACUGGAGGACCGAACCCACUGUCGUUGAAAAGCCAGGGGAUGACUUGUGGAUAGGGGUGAAAGGCUAAUCAAGCCUGGUGAUAGCUGGUUCUCCCCGAAAGCUAUUUAGGUAGCGCCUCGGACGAAUACCAUAGGGGGUAGAGCACUGUUUCGGCUAGGGGGUCAUCCCGACUUACCAAACCGAUGCAAACUCCGAAUACCUAUGAGUACUAUCCGGGAGACAGACUGCGGGUGCUAACGUCCGUAGUCAAGAGGAAAACAAUCCAGACCGCCAGCUAAGGCCCCAAAAUCAUAGUUAAGUGGGAAACGAUGUGGGAAGGCAUAGACAGCUAGGAGGUUGGCUUAGAAGCAGCCACCCUUUAAAGAAAGCGUAAUAGCUCACUAGUCGAGUCGGCCUGCGCGGAAGAUGUAACGGGGCUAAAACUAUGUGCCGAAGCUGCGGAUUUGACAUUGUAAGUGGUAGGGGAGCGUUCUGUAAGCCGAUGAAGGUGUAUUGAGAAGCAUGCUGGAGGUAUCAGAAGUGCGAAUGCUGACGUGAGUAACGACAAAACGGGUGAAAAACCCGUUCGCCGAAAGACCAAGGGUUCCAGUCCAACGUUAAUCGGGGCUGGGUGAGUCGACCCCUAAGGCGAGGCCGAAAGGCGUAGUCGAUGGGAAAAUGGUUAAUAUUCCAUUACUUCUGUGUAAUGCGAUGAGAGGACGGAGAAGGCUAAAUCAGCCUGGCGUUGGUUGUCCAGGUGAAAGGAUGUAGGCAUGUAUCUUAGGCAAAUCCGGGGUACUCUAUGCUGAGAUCUGAUAGCAAGCUGUACUUGUACAGCGAAGUGGUUGAUGCCAUGCUUCCAGGAAAAGUCUCUAAGCUUCAGUUACACAGGAAUCGUACCCGAAACCGACACAGGUGGUCAGGUCGAGUAGACCAAGGCGCUUGAGAGAACUCUGCUGAAGGAACUAGGCAAAAUGGUACCGUAACUUCGGGAGAAGGUACGCUGUUGUUGGUGAUGGAACUCGCUUCCUGAGCUGACGACAGCCGCAGAAACCAGGCCGCUGCAACUGUUUAUUAAAAACAUAGCACUCUGCAAACACGAAAGUGGACGUAUAGGGUGUGAUGCCUGCCCGGUGCUGGAAGGUUAAUUGAUGGGGUUAGCGUAAGCGAAGCUCUUGAUCGAAGCCCCAGUAAACGGCGGCCGUAACUAUAACGGUCCUAAGGUAGCGAAAUUCCUUGUCGGGUAAGUUCCGACCUGCACGAAUGGCAUAAUGAUGGCGGCGCUGUCUCCAGCAGAGGCUCAGUGAAAUCGAAAUCGCUGUGAAGAUGCAGUGUACCCGCGGCUAGACGGAAAGACCCCGUGAACCUUUACUGCAGCUUGACACUGAACUUUGACCUUACUUGUGUAGGAUAGGUGGGAGGCUUUGAAGCUGGAACGCUAGUUCCAGUGGAGCCGUCCUUGAAAUACCACCCUGGUAAUGUUGAGGUUCUAACUCUGUCCCGUGAUCCGGGACGAGGACCGUGUCUGGUGGGUAGUUUGACUGGGGCGGUCUCCUCCUAAAGAGUAACGGAGGAGUACGAAGGUGCGCUCAGCGUGGUCGGAAAUCACGCGUAGAGUAUAAAGGCAAAAGCGCGCUUAACUGCGAGACCCACAAGUCGAGCAGGUACGAAAGUAGGUCUUAGUGAUCCGGUGGUUCUGUAUGGAAGGGCCAUCGCUCAACGGAUAAAAGGUACUCUGGGGAUAACAGGCUGAUACCGCCCAAGAGUUCAUAUCGACGGCGGUGUUUGGCACCUCGAUGUCGGCUCAUCUCAUCCUGGGGCUGAAGCAGGUCCCAAGGGUAUGGCUGUUCGCCAUUUAAAGAGGUACGCGAGCUGGGUUUAGAACGUCGUGAGACAGUUCGGUCCCUAUCUACCGUGGGCGCUGGAAAUUUGAGAGGAUCUGCUCCUAGUACGAGAGGACCAGAGUGGACGAACCUCUGGUGUACCGGUUGUGACGCCAGUCGCAUCGCCGGGUAGCUAUGUUCGGAAGGGAUAACCGCUGAAAGCAUCUAAGCGGGAAGCCUACCUCAAGAUAAGAUUUCCCUAGGACUUUAUGUCCUCUAAAGAGCCGUUCGAGACUAGGACGUUGAUAGGUUGGAUGUGGAAGCAUAGUGAUAUGUGAAGCUGACCAAUACUAAUUGCUCGUGAGGCUUGACUAU